ACACCACUUCUGAAAGGCUGCCAACUCCUGUUCUGAACAAAUGCGAUAUAGGCAGUAGCAAAGAAAGCUUUUCCAUAUUGCUCUGCCAGUGUGCCUCAACCCUGACCUGGAGGAAGCAUCUGUAGGGAUGAGAGCGUUUUCAAACCUCUAUAUGUGGUCCUUAUCUUCU
ensembl:misc_RNA